rnacentral:rRNA from 1 species
CGACUCCACGUCUGUGCAGCCGCCGCGGUAACACCGGCAGCUCAAGUGGUAAGCCCAUGUUUUAUUGGGGUCUAAAGCGUCCGGUAGCCGGCUGAGUUAAGUUCCGAUUUGGGAAAAUUUUGACCGCUUUAACGGUUAAGCUAUCAGGGAAUACUGCUUGGCUUGGGACCGGGAGAGGUCAGAGGUGACUCCAGGGGUAGGGGUGAAAUCUAUUAAUCCUUGGGGGACCACCGGUAGCGAAGGCGUCUGACCAGACCGGGUCCGACGGUGAGGGACGAAGGCUGGGGUCGCGAACCGGAUUAGAUACCCGGGUAGUCCCAGCUGUAAACGAUGCGGGCCAGGUGUUGGCAUUACUGCGAGUGAUGUCAGUGCCAAAGGGAAGCCGUUAAGCCCGCCAUCUGGGGAGUACGGUCGCAAGGCUGAAACUUAAAGAAAUUGGCGGGGGAGCACCACAACGGGUGGAGCCUGCGGUUCAAUCGGAUUCAACGCCGGAAAACUCACCGGAGGCGACAGCGAGAUGAAGGUCAGGCUGAAGACCUUACCGGAUUAGCUGAGAGGUGGCGCAUGGCCGUCGGCAGUUCGUGUCGUGAAGCAUCCUGUUAAGUCAGGCAACGGGCGAGACCCGCGCUCACAGUUGCCAGCAUGUUCUUCGGAACGAUGGGCACUCUGUGAGGACUGCCACCGCUAAGGUGGAGGAAGAAGCGGGCCACGGUAGGUCAGUACGCCCCGAAUCUUCCGGGCUACACGCGUGCUACAAUGGGCAGUACAAUGGGUAUCAACCCCGAAAGGGGAAGGUAAUCUCCUAAAACUGUCCUCAGUUGGGAUCGAGGGCUGCAACUCGCCCUCGUGAACCAGGAAUCCGUAGUAAUCGCCUCUCAAAAUGAGGCGGUGAAUAUGUCCCUGCUCC